GCUGGGUGUGGUGGUGCACACCUGUAAUCCCAGCUACUCGGGAGGCUGAGGUAUGAGAAUCUCUUGAACCCAGGAGGUGGAGGUUGUAGUGAGCCGAUAUUGCACACUGCACUCCUACCUGAGUGACAGAGAGAGACCCCAUCUCAA
ensembl:misc_RNA Metazoa_SRP Metazoan signal recognition particle RNA